CCUACGGGUGGCAGCAGUCGAGAAUCAUUCACAAUGGGGGAAACCCUGAUGGUGCGACGCCGCGUGGGGGAAUGAAGGUCUUCGGAUUGUAAACCCCUGUCAUGUGGGAGCAAAUUAAAAAGAUAGUACCACAAAAGGCAGAGACGGCUAACUCUGUGCCAGCAGCCGCGGUAAUACAGAGGUCUCAAGCGUUGUUCGGAAUCACUGGGGGGAAAGCGUGCGUAGGCUGUUUCGUAAGUCGUGUGUGAAAGGCGCGGGCUCAACCCGCGGACGGCACAUGAUACUGCGGGACUAGAGUAAUGGAGGGGGAACCGGAAUUCUCGGUGUAGCAGUGAAAUGCGUAGAUAUCGAGAGGAACACUCGUGGCGAAGGCGGGUUCCUGGACAUUAACUGACGCUGAGGCACGAAGGCCAGGGGAGCGAAAGGGAUUAGAUACCCCAGUAGUC
rnacentral:rRNA from 1 species